CAGUCGCCGCGGGAAUACGGAGGGUGCAAGCGUUAUCCGGAUUUAUUGGGUUUAAAGGGUCCGUAGGCGGAUCUGUAAGUCAGUGGUGAAAUCUCACAGCUUAACUGUGAAACUGCCAUUGAUACUGCAGGUCUUGAGUAAAUUUGAAGUGGCUGGAAUAAGUAGUGUAGCGGUGAAAUGCAUAGAUAUUACUUAGAACACCAAUUGCGAAGGCAGGUCACUAAGAUUUAACUGACGCUGAUGGACGAAAGCGUGGGGAGCGAACAGGAUUAGAUACCCGUGUAGUCCCUGUCUCUUAUAU
rnacentral:rRNA from 1 species